ensembl:lncRNA
GUCUCUCUCUUGCUCUCUCUCUCUGUUUAUCUCUUUCACUCUCAGUCUCUCUCUGUUUAUCUUUCACUGUCUGCCUCUCACUGUCCGUCUCUGUCUGUCUCUCUCCGUUUAUCUCUCUUUCACUGUCUGCCUCUCUCUUGCUCUCUCUCUCUGUUUAUCUCUUUCACUCUGUCUCUCUCUGUUUAUCUCUUUCACUCCCAGUCUCUCUCUGUUUAUCUCUUUCACUGUCUGCCUCUGUCUGUCUCUCUCCGUUUAUCUCUCUUUCACUGUCUGCCUCUCUCUGUCUGUCUGUCUCCGUUUAUCUCUUUCACUGUCUGCCUCUCACUGUCCAUCUCUCUCUGUCUGUCUCUCCGUUUAUCUCUCUUUCACUGUCUGCCUCUCACUGUCCAUCUCUGUCUGUCUCUCUGUCUAUCUCUCUUUCACUGUCUGCCUCUCACUGUCCGUCUCUCUCUGUGUGUCUCUGUUUAUCUCUCUUUCACUCUGUCUCUCUGUUUAUCUCUCUUUCAGUGUCUGCCUCUCUCUUGGUCUCUCUCUCUGUUUAUCUCUUUCACACUCAGUAUCUCUCUGUUUAUCUCUUUCACUGUCUGCCUCUCACUGUCCAUCUCUCUCUGUCCGUCUCUCUGUUUAUCACUUUCACUCUGUCUCUCUCUUGCUCUCUCUCUGUUUAUCUCUUUCACUCUGUCUCUCUGUUUAUCUCUUUCACUGUCUGCCUCUCACUGUCCGUCUCUCUCUCUGUCUGUCUCUCUCUGUUUGUCUCUUUCACUGUCUGCCUCUCUCUUGCUCUCUCUCUGUUUAUCUCUCUUUCACUCUGUCUCUCUCUCUCUUUCACUGUCCGCCUCUCACUGUCCGUCUGUCUGUUUAUAUCUUUCCCUGUCUGCCGCUACACUGUCUGUCUCUCGCUCUGUUUAUCUCUCUUUCACUGUCUGUCUCUCUCUCGCUCUUUCACUGUCUGUCUCUCACUGUCUGUCUCUCUCUUUCUUGGUGUAUCCGUCUCUCUCGCUGUCUGUCUCGCUCUCUUUCUCUCUCUCUCUCUGUCUCUCACUGUCUCGCUCUCUCACUGUCUGUCUCGCUCUGUUUAUCUCGCUUUUUCUGUCUCUCACUGUCUCUCUCACUGUCUGUCUCUCCCACUGUCUGUCUCUCUUUCUCUGUCUGUCUGUCUGUCUGUCUCUCUCUCUCUCUCUCCAUACAUGAUUGAAUAACAUUAAUGUUUUUUUCCUUAAAGGAUGUGAAAUCUCACUAAAACCUCUGUUUUGUUCUGAAAAUGUUUCAUAAAUAGUGAAUUAGUCAUUUUAAAUUAUAAACUGUGGUUGGUUGGUGUAGUGCCUUCUGCACUGUAGACUGGGAUUCAAUCCCCACCUGGGCAGCACCCUACACUACACCAAUAAUAGUCCUUGGGCAAGACUCCUAACACCAUC